rnacentral:rRNA from 1 species
GUCUGCGUGGAGCCAACCUUGAAAUACCACCCUUUAAUGUUUGAUGUUCUAACGUAGACCCGUGAUCCGGGUUGCGGACAGUGUCUGGUGGGUAGUUUGACUGGGGCGGUCUCCUCCCAAAGAGUAACGGAGGAGCACGAAGGUUAGCUAAUCCUGGUCGGACAUCAGGAGGUUAGUGCAAUGGCAUAAGCUAGCUUGACUGCGAGCGUGACGGCGCGAGCAGGUGCGAAAGCAGGUCAUAGUGAUCCGGUGGUUCUGAAUGGAAGGGCCAUCGCUCAACGGAUAAAAGGUACUCCGGGGAUAACAGGCUGAUACCGCCCAAGAGUUCAUAUCGACGGCGGUGUUUGGCACCUCGAUGUCGGCUCAUCACAUCCUGGGGCUGAAGUAGGUCCCAAGGGUAUGGCUGUUCGCCAUUUAAAGUGGUACGCGAGCUGGGUUUAGAACGUCGUGAGACAGUUCGGUCCCUAUCUGCCGUGGGCGCUGGAGAAUUGAGGGGGGCUGCUCCUAGUACGAGAGGACCGGAGUGGACGCAUCACUGGUGUUCGGGUUGUCAUGCCAAUGGCAUUGCCCGGUAGCUAAAUGCGGAAAAGAUAAGUGCUGAAAGCAUCUAAGCACGAAACUUGCCCCGAGAUGAGUUCUCCCUGACUCCUUGAGAGUCCUGAAGGAACGUUGAAGACGACGACGUUGAUAGGUCGGGUGUGUAAGCGUAGCGAUACGUUGAGCUAACCGAUACUAAUGAACCGUGAGGCUUAACCUUACAACGCCGAAGCUGUU